AUUGAACGCUGGCGGAAUGCUUUACACAUGCAAGUCGAACGGCAGCAUAGGUGCUUGCACCUGAUGGCGAGUAGCGAACGGGUGAGUAAUAUAUCGGAACGUGCCCAGUCGUGGGGGAUAACGUAGUGAAAAUUACGCUAAUACCGCAUACGAUCUAAGGAUGAAAGCGGGGGAUCGCAAGACCUCGCGCGAUUGGAGCGGCCGAUAUCAGAUUAGGUAGUUGGUGAGGUAAAGGCUCACCAAGCCAACGAUCUGUAGCUGGUCUGAGAGGACGACCAGCCACACUGGAACUGAGACACGGUCCAGACUCCUACGGGAGGCAGCAGUGGGGAAUUUUGGACAAUGGACGCAAGUCUGAUCCAGCCAUUCCGCGUGCAGGACGAAGGCCUUCGGGUUGUAAACUGCUUUUGUACAGAACGAAAAGGUCUCUAUUAAUACUAGGGGCUCAUGACGGUACUGUAAGAAUAAGCACCGGCUAACUACGUGCCAGCCGCCGCAGUAA
rnacentral:rRNA from 1 species